AGCAGGAAGUGCCUAACAACAUUACAUUGUGUUGUUACAAAGCAAUGGUCUGUUUAUUUGCUUCAGUUUUUUGGCCAAGGUAGCUCACUGCACUUCAUUUAAGUAAUAAAGACAUCUAAAUUAGAAACCUGAACAUUCUUACACUAUGUAACUUGUUACAAGUGAUGGCUGGUGUGUACAGUAUAUUCCACAUCGAACUCACCAUACACCCACCAUCACCACUACCAAGUGGACAGCCUGCUUUAGUUAUGAGGAAUUCCCAUCAUUUUAGCAGCAAAAUAAGCAGUGAAAUGUUUAAAACGACAGACAAAACCAAAUAAACUUUACAGUCAGACACAAAGAAUAGAAGCAGAUGUCCAUAAGGAGAAAGAAAAGGAAUAUCUACUGACUGAGGGAAAUCAAUGGAAGUUAUGAUGAUCAUGGCUUUUAUUAGUGCUGUGA